rnacentral:rRNA from 1 species
UACGGAGGGUGCAAGCGUUGUUCGGAAUCACUGGGCGUAAAGGGCGCGUAGGUGGCCCGGUCAGCGUGCGGUGAAAGCUCGGGGCUCAACCCCGAGUCGGCCGUGCGAACUGCUGGGCUUGAGCACUGUAGAGGCAGGCGGAAUUCCGGGUGUAGCGGUGGAAUGCGUAGAGAUCCGGAAGAACACCGGUGGCGAAGGCGGCCUGCUGGGCAGUGGCUGACACUGAGGCGCGACAGCGUGGGGAGCAAACAGG